rnacentral:rRNA from 1 species
AAGACCUUGCACUUUUGGAGCGGCCGAUGUCUGAUUAGCUAGUUGGUGGGGUAAUGGCCUACCAAAGCGUCGAUCAGUAGCUGGUCUGAGAGGACGGCCAGCCACACUGGGACUGAGACACGGCCCAGACUCCUACGGGAGGCAGCAGUGGGGAAUUUUGGACAAUGGGCGCAAGCCUGAUCCAGCCAUGCCGCGUGAGUGAAGAAGGCCUUCGGGUUGUAAAGCUCUUUCAGCCGGGAAGAAAAGGUUGCGACUAAUAAUCGCAAUUCAUGACGGUACCGAAAGAAGAAGCACCGGCUAACUACGUGCCAGCAGCCGCGGUAAUACGUAGGGUGCGAGCGUUAAUCGGAAUUACUGGGCGUAAAGGGUGCGCAGGCGGUUUUGUAAGUCAGAUGUGAAAUCCCCGGGCUUAACCUGGGAACU